AUUGAACGCUGGCGGCAGGCCUAACACAUGCAAGUCGAGCGAGCGGCGGACGGGUGAGUAAUAUCUGGGAAACUGCCUGAUGGAGGGGGAUAACUACUGGAAACGGUAGCUAAUACCGCAUACCAUCGGAUGUGCCCAGAUGGGAUUAGCUGGUAGGGGGGGUAAUGGCUCACCUAGGCGACGAUCCCUCGCUGGUCGGUGAGGAUGACCAGCCACACUGGAACUGAGACACGGUCCAGACUCCUACGGGAGGCAGCAGUGGGGAAUAUUGCACAAUGGGCGCAAGCCUGAUGCAGCCAUGCCGCGUGUGUGAAGAAGGCCUUCGGGUUGUAAAGCACUUUCAGCGAGGAGGCGUUACCCGCAGAAGAAGCACCGGCUAACUCCGUGCCAGCAGCCGCGGUAAUAC
rnacentral:rRNA from 1 species